rnacentral:rRNA from 1 species
GUGGGUAACCUGCCUUAUAGUGGGGGAUAGCCUUUCGAAAGGAAGAUUAAUACCGCAUAAGAUUGUAGUAUCGCAUGAUAUAGCAAUUAAAGGAGCAAUUCGCUAUAAGAUGGACCCGCGUCGCAUUAGCUAGUUGGUGAGGUAAUGGCUCACCAAGGCGACGAUGCGUAGCCGACCUGAGAGGGUGAUCGGCCACAUUGGGACUGAGACACGGCCCAGACUCCUACGGGAGCAGCAUG